rnacentral:lncRNA from 1 species
UUUCAAAUAUGUUUUUUUUCAUGAUGACCAAUAAAAAACAACAGUGUUACCCCUUAUGUUUUCUUUCAUGACGACCAAUAAAAAACAACAGUGUUGCCCCUUAUGUUUUUUUUCAAGACGACCAUUAAAAACAACAGUGUUACCCCUUAUGUUUUUUUUCAUGACGACCAAUAAAAAACAACAGUGUUACCCCUUCUGGUUUUUUUCAUGACGACCAAAGAAAAACGACUGUGUCACCCCUCAUGUUUCAUUUGAUAAAAACUACAAUGUUACCCCCUAUGUUUUAAUGGAUAAAUAUCGACAGUGUUACCCCUUAUGUUUUUUUCAUGACGACCGAUAAAAAAGGACAGUUUUACCCCUUAUGUUUCAUUUGAUAAAAACGACAGUGUUACCCCUCAUGUUUCAUUUGAUAAAAACGACAGUGUUACCCCUUGUGUUUUUUUUCAUUACGAACAAUUUGAAUUGUGUUUAAAAAUGCUACAGUGGUCAUUUGUUUAGCCAAUUCAUGUUAAACAAUGAGGGUUUUGAUUGUCGGGUCGGGCCUUUGAUCGAUCGUUUGUGUUUUUUUUAUCAUUGCUUUAUUGGCCUAAUUUGAGGAGAAAUCUAUGCCAUAAACAGACAUUUAAUAGGCCUUUAUUACACGGGUCUUCUCAAUGCCGUGGAACGCUCCAUUCACUUGCAUGGGUAGUAGUCCGGUAACUUGUCAACCCCAGCGUCUUCGUUUGCUAAGCGACGUCAACGUCUUAUAGCGGACUAUUUCACUGCUGAUCAACACUACGAAUGCUGGUAACGAAUAAAUUGUAAAAAGACACACCAUGUGAAGUUAUUUUCCAAAUAGUUCAGCGAGAAAGGCGACGAAGAAUAAGAAGGGGGCGUUCCAGUCUGCGUAAACGGAAACCCCCACCACACGAGAACGCCCAUUUGCGUCUGCAGUGGGAUGAUAUUGCCUUAUUCUGGUUUUAAUGUAACAGAAUAACACUGUUUGAAACACUUUCACACCAUCAGCGAGGUAGCAUUUCAACAAUUCUGAUGUUGUCAUGAAAACUUAGACGAGUGUGUCUUUGUGUGUUUCUGUGUGUGUGUGUGUGUGUGUGUGU